rnacentral:rRNA from 1 species
CAAGUCGAGCGGACAGAUGGGAGCUUGCUCCCUGAUGUUAGCGGCGGACGGGUGAGUAACACGUGGGUAACCUGCCUGUAAGACUGGGAUAACUCCGGGAAACCGGGGCUAAUACCGGAUGCUUGUUUGAACCGCAUGGUUCAAACAUAAAAGGUGGCUUCGGCUACCACUUACAGAUGGACCCGCGGCGCAUUAGCUAGUUGGUGAGGUAACGGCUCACCAAGGCAACGAUGCGUAGCCGACCUGAGAGGGUGAUCGGCCACACUGGGACUGAGACACGGCCCAGACUCCUACGGGAGGCAGCAGUAGGGAAUCUUCCGCAAUGGACGAAAGUCUGACGGAGCAACGCCGCGUGAGUGAUGAAGGUUUUCGGAUCGUAAAGCUCUGUUGUUAGGGAAGAACAAGUACCGUUCGAAUAGGGCGGUACCUUGACGGUACCUAACCAGAAAGCCACGGCUAACUACGUGCCAGCAGCCGCGGUAAUACGUAGGUGGCAAGCGUUGUCCGGAAUUAUUGGGCGUAAAGGGCUCGCACGCGGUUCCUUAAGUCUGAUGUGAAAGCCCCCGGCUCAACCGGGGAGGGUCAUUGGAAACUGGGGAACUUGAGUGCAGAGAGGAGAGUGAAUUCCACGUGUAGCGGUGAAAUGCGUAGAGAUGUGGAGGAACACCAGUGG